UUGAAGUUGGUCGGUGUGACAGGUUCGAGUCCGCUGCUGAGAAUCCGUCAGGUGGUGGAAUCAAACUGCAGACAGACAUUUUAAUAACAGAUAUUUAUACACAGAAUCAGUUUAUUUUUUUAAAGUCGGUGUUAGUUUUACUUACACAGAUAUAAAAAAGAUACGGACUUGGUUUUAAAGGACGGUUUAAAUCUGCGGUAAGAGGCUCCCUCAGAAUUUGCUGGUUAACGCACCAGAGGCGCACGUGGGGCAGAUGCUGCCAGUUUGAAACACUUCUGUCGCGAGCUUCAGCGUCGUAGCUGAAACACAGGAAGAAGUGUGAAAACGGAUGUAAGACAAUGACCCAUGCUGUGAGCGCUACUAGACACGGUUUGUUUUAUUUCCUCGACUUUAAUCUAACAUUUUAGCGACACAUGAGACCCCGGAGCUAGCUUUUUUAUCGCUCAGUUUGGAUUACUUUGUGCGGUCUUCGCUGGAGUCCAGCUCUAUUUACAGUGAGUGGAUAAGGGGUUGAGAAAACAUGGGGACCCAGGGCACAGGACGGAAAAGAUCCACCAAGAAGGAGAGGUCGACGGCAGAGGACGAUGCCCUGAAUCUGAUCGCUAGAGAGGCUGAAGCCAGACUGGCAGCAAAGAGGGCGGCCCGGGCAGAGGCAAGAGAGAUCCGGAUGAAGGAGCUUGAGAGACAACAGAAAGAGAUCUUUCAGGUGCAGAAGAAAUAUUACGGCUUGAACACCAAAUUAGACGACCGAUCGGACAGCAAAUGGGGCGAUAUUGAACAAUGGAUGGAAGAUAGUGAGAGAUACUCACGUUCUUCACGGAUAAACCCGCUCUCUGACGAAGAUGAGCGGAUGUCAGUGGGAAGCCGAGGCAGUGUCAGGUCGGAUCUUGAUGCAGUUGGUGCUUAUGGAGGGGGUUCCUCAAACUCAAGUAAGAAGUCAAAGAAAAAGAAGAAGCACAAACAUAAAGACAAAGAUAGGAACGGCUACGAUGAUGAUUACAGUGUUAUAUCCAGCAGGAGCUCCAGACUCAGUGAUGAGAGCAGAGUGUCUCGCUCCUCCAGACUAGACCUCACGAACUCCAGACUCAGCGAUGACAGCCGGCUGUCUCGUGCCUCCAGAUUAGACCUGCAGCCGGCUUCUUAUGCUUCCUCUGACUUGUACAGCUUCAAUGGUCUGUCCUCCUCCAGAAUCCCAGGCUCCACUUUCAAUGGUUAUCAGAGCUCAUUAUACGAGGACAGUCUUUGCAGUGGGUCACGGCGAGUCACAGGCUCCAGCUCCCAUCCUUUAGAGUACUCUAGUUAUCGCAGCUCCGGGUCCAGAGCUUCCUCCAGGACAAACUCGGCCCGCACAAGCCCAGUGGACAAUUGCAGCUCUGUUGCCAGUUUUUUGAGGAGUGCGGCCAGCAGCAGUGGCCUCCCCAGGGACCUGGACGAUGUUACUAUUCCUGACUUUUCUGACGUGGAGGACAGAGAUUAUCUGGAGAAGGGAUCUCGAGCAGCUUCUGCCUUAACUGCAACCACCCUCACCUCGUUAGGCGGGUCUUCCUCGAGGAGAGGAAGUGGGGAGACGGCCAUAACUGUAGAUGCAGAAACAUCUUUACGAGAAAUCAAGGAGAUUCAUGAACUGAAGGAUCAAAUACAGGAUGUGGAAAGCAAGUACACGCAGAACCUUAAAGAAGCCAAGGACACGUUAGCAGAAGUGGAGGAGAAGUACCGCAAGGCUAUGGUAUCUAAUGCCCAGCUGGAUAAUGAGAAAAACAACCUGAUGUACCAGGUGGACACACUCAAGGACUCACUCAUGGAGCUGGAGGAACUGUUGUCAGAAUCUCGUCGGGAAUAUGAGGAGAAAGUCAAGGAAUGCGAGCGAGAGAAACAUGCCUACUCUGUGCUCCAGUUCCAGUUCAAUGAAAUGAAAGAGACACUAAAACAAAGUGAAGAGUUGCUGAAUGAGAUCCGUCAGCUGCGUAUGAAGCAGGAGGGUUUUGUUAGAGAAAUAUCAGACCUGCAGGAGACCGUGGAAUGGAAGGAUAAAAAAAUCGGGGCCUUAGAGCGACAGAAAGAAUACACAGACGCAAUCCGAAUCGAGCGAGAUGAGCUCAGAGAAGAGGUGGUCAAGCUGAAAGACAUUUUGAAGAAACAUGGAAUAGUUUUGGGACCUGAUCUUAACAUAAAUGGAGACAUUGGUGAGACACCAGCUGACGGCUCCCCCAGUGAAGAUCCUGCUUCCCUCUCAACACAGGAUUCACAGACACCGACAGAGGGGAACAGCAUGCUUGGCAAAACAAAGGAGACUCUGUUGGGAAGUAGAGGAGAGGAAGAUGUGGAUCUGGAGCAAGAUCAAGCAUUGCACAAGGAAGUCAAAGUUAAUACCUUGGGCUGCAACAGUUUAGAGGACAAUGUCAAAAAAAUGAAAACAGUGGGGGAAGAUUUAGGAGAGACAAGCAGCCAAGAUUCGAGGGGGACUUACAGCCCUUUGGAGGGGCAGAAAUACUCCCACAAUGAUGUUGACGACUUGAGCAACUUGAGUACUUGUCCUCAGCAGAAUGUCACACAAGAUGUCCUUAAUAAGAGCUUUUCUGAGUCUGUUCCUGCUCUAGCAAACUCUGAACCUCAACAAGAACCAGAACACACCAAGAAGAUGGAGAAUGAUAAGGAAGAGGAAAAAUCUCAGGCUCAGGGGGCUGCUGCUUCAGGAAAGAAAAAGAAAAAGAAAAGGAAGGGCAAAAAAAAAGCUGGAACGAAUGAGGAAAACCAACAAAAAGAAAAGGGCAACACAGAAAAAGGAAUGCAGUCAGCCACGAUAGAUAAUGGCAUGAUCAAUGCCAGGUUCUGCUGUUGGCCCGUCACUGAAACCCUCAAAGAAUUGAAGGGGAAUCAAGUUAAAAAUAAGCAGGACAAGCAAAAAAAUAAAGAUGGCAGUGGAGUACAAGUGGCAAAACCUGCUGAAACUGUCAAGAAUAAUGAGAAUUUAAAAGAAACACAAAUUGAUGAAGUGGUAAAUGAGCACAGCAAGACUCAAACUUCAGAAACGCAGAGCUCGAAAGAUGUACAAGUAAUGGCACCAUGUGAAACCAUCGAAGCACCGCAUGAAUUUAGAGAUUAUGAUGACAAGAAUGAACAACAAAGUUUAGAGGCUGAAAAAGUAGAAACGGUUAAGGCUACAGCCUCCAUUGACACCCUUCCUCAUGUUGACACUCAAGAGAAAUUUGAAACAGAACCCAACAAUGGUGAUGUGCAAGAUGAACAGAAAUUAGAGGAGGAGAUGUUGGAAGAACCCAUAACAAGCCCUGCUCCACAAAUCAUUGUUUGUGCUAUUGAUACAGAGGAAACAUCCAGUGAUGCUGAGGUCACUGAGGAUGCUGCCAAGGACAGUACUUCCAGUGUAGAAAACAUUGAAAUAGACACUGCUGAAGAAAAGCAUGUUGAAGACUUAACACCGGAAACAGAGAACUUGGAAACAGAGAACUUAGAAGAAGUGAAAGAAAUGCAAACUUGUGAAACCAUAGAAGCUCCAGAAGAAAGUCCAAUCCAUCUUGGUACAGAUGAAAUGAAUGAAGAGCAAAGUUUGGAGUCUGAAAACCCAGCAGAGGCAAUGGCACCCAGUGAAGCCAUUAACAAAGUUGAUGAUCCUGCAGAAUCCGAAAUGAAUCCAAUUAAAGAUGAACAAGACAAAGAACAAACUUUGGACACUUCAGAAGCAGAAGAAGAAGAAUCUGUAGUAAAUCAUGGGUCAGAAAACAGUUAUUCUGAACUUGAAGACUCCAUGAAUGCCGAGAGCACUCAGUGCCCUUCCAAGAGGUGUACUUCAAGUGAAGAAAACAGUGAUGUAGACUUCUCCACUAACAGCAGCGUUAUCCACACUGAGUCCGAAGUUGCUGAUAGUGCAGAGAGUGAAGUCGGGUCUUUCAAUGAUGUACAAUCUGAAAGUAAUGAUAAGGAAGACAUUGACACUGAUCCGCUUGUCUCAAGCCUUGGUGAAGAUAAUCCUGAUGAAUCUGAAACCACAAAUAGUCCUGACAGUGGUUCCCUGGUGUGUUCGACUUCUACUGAUGGCCUUUACGAUGGUCAGCAGAGUUAUUCUGGAUCAGAGCAGCCCUCAGAGUUGCUGUCAGAGCAUGCAGACUCGUGCAGCGACAACACUCCUAUUGACUUCUCUGAAAGAGGCUCAGAGGAGGAAACUGAAACAGUCAUAGACAUUACGGAGCAAGGCUCAGAGACAGAACAAGAAUCUGCUUCACCCAUUCUUGAUAUUGAUCAUUCAGAGAUAACAGGUGGUUCAGAUGCAGAAGAGCUGAAUGGAGACUUGAAAGAACCUGAGGGUUUAGUUGAACCAGACAGCUCUUCGAAUGACAAAAUCAUUGAAGCAUCUGACACUGAAAGCAGUCCUUUAGAAACUGUGGAUCAGACUGAACAACUGGAUGAUGUAGAAAAUCAAACAUCACCGCCUGAGGAUCAGACUGAUGAACCACACGUCGAUCUUUCUUGUGAAAUAGAAGAGAUCAACACAGGUGAAUUGCUAGAUGCAUCAGAUUCUCCAAAAGAAGGUACUGAAGUCAGCGAUGUCAUCAAAUCAGACCAAAAUACAGAAGAAUCAGUCAUCGAAGAAGAUCCAGAACAGGCAUAUUGUCAAAUCGAUGAACAAAUUCAGACACGGCAUGAACCCCUGAAAGGCGAGUCUGAGGAUUAUCAGAGGUCUGAGGUCUUAACCGAAACAACACUGCUGGACAGUGAUGAUGAGGACAGCGUUGAUGAAGAAGGACAAUCUUUUGAUUUUGAUGACUUGGAGUUGGAUGAUGCCAUUGCAUCAGCUCUGCCAGACGAUCCCAAACAGAUAUCAAUCGUGGAAGGAGUUGAAAUCCCUUCAAAGGAAGGCAACAGAAGUCUAGAUCUGACACAAAGCAGUAAUGACUUAAGUGAAUAUACUCAAGACAAGCCAGAGGAAAGAGAUACGGCUGGUGGAGACCACCAGAUAGAAACACAGCAACGAGAGUCUGAUGCUAUAAGCCAAGACACCUUAGACUCUUGGGCUCAUGGGGAUACCUCAUCUGAAAAUCUGGUUGAAGAGCAGGUGAACAUUCUGGAAGAAGUAGGUGUUACGGAGGAGUCCGCUCAUGUUGCAGAGGAAAGAAAGCUUUUGAAUGCUGCAGAGUUGGGCGAGAAGCAUAAUCAGGCAAUAUCUUUGCCCUUAGAGGAAGGGUUAGACGCUGUGAUGGAAGAAGAUUCGGUUUCACUUAAGAGUUGGGAUGUAGUGUCCAGCAACACAGAUUCACUGCCGUCAGGGAGACAUUCAAAGAAGGGCAGCAAGAAAAGCAAAGGCAAGGGCAAAGAGGACUGUAAGAUGUCUUAGCUUAUCAGUGAUAUGUAGUAAAUAUAUGAAUUACUUUUAUCAGCCCUUCAGUAGUCUUUGCUUAGCUGUUUACAGAUGUUUUGCUAAGCCCUUGCAGCAGUUUCUGAAAUUAAAAUUGUUGUAUUUUUGUAAAUAAUUUUAAUUAAAUCAACACAAACCGUCCAAGAUCCAAGGAUCAGCCCUUAGUUUAGUCAUUUCUGGACAAAAAUUGAAAGUAGUAGUAGUGAUUGGAAUGUUACGGCCUGAAACAAUUUAUUAGAGUUUUUGAAAUACUGCACUUGCAAUUGAUGCACAUUUAUCACGCUGCUUGUAAUUUAUGAUGAAUGUUGUAUGAGAAACAUGUAUCAAAUAAAUGUUAACAUCAAUCUAGACUUCAGUGAACAAGCUUGUACAAGUUGUAGAUGUUAUGUUAAGGAUGAAAUAACACAUCUGGACACUUUCUGUCCCCUCUCCUUAAGAACUUUGAUUCAGAGUUGUUUUCUCCAAGAGGUUCAGUGAAAUAAAAUUGCAUUCAUUACAUUACAUUGUGUUUCUAAAGUUAAGUUAAAGGUAUAAUAUGCAACUUUCAAUCCAGGAGAUUGUGUAAUUUAGCACCAGUUUCUCAGAAAAUAACAAGCUCCCUCAGUGCACUGCUUCCCUUCCCUUAACCCUCCAAUAGUGGGCAGUUUGUUAGAUCUGAUUUCCAUUUGAUUCUUUUAUCUUUGAAUGCUUUUGACCAAAAGUCAAUUGUUUUCCUUGAACUGUACUCUUGUGACAAAAUUCCACCAUCAGUAAUGACUCUUCCCUCUACAGAGCGGUGAGGUGUAGAUAUACAAAAUAGGCUGACACAUACAGUAAAAUCCAGUAUAUAAGCCAUGGUCUGUUUUUGAAAUCUCCCAAGGAGGAACAAAGUUUACACUGUCCUCCAUUUCAUUCUGCAAAGUCCUAAAGUUGCAGUUUCUGUGCAGCUGUUUUGAUCUAUUAGUACUGUUUUUGCUGUAUGGCGUCUGUGCAUCCACUAGCUAUAAUAUGGUAACUAGGCUCUCAGCCUGCAGUAAUGAGACAGACUCCCAGGCCUCCUUCACCCGUCACCAGUUCUCAGCUAAACCAGCGCUACACAUGACUUAUUUACCUAACGUUGUAUUUCCUGUUUCUUGAAAUGUAUGACCAAACAAGUGGUGAAAGCAGAUGAAAAAAUAGCACCAACCAAACUGGUGUGGUUUGUGUCGCUAUGCAUUCCAGCACAGUGCAGUGAAGCCAAAGCAUCCACUUGCAAUUCACAAUGCAGAGAGGUGAAUUUUCUAUCACUUUAGGUCUUGUAACUGCAUUACUGUGUUAUGGUGGCAGCCACAUGCACUUGCGGUAAUGGCGUCUGUCUUGGUACUUAAUACUGGCAUAUAGGUAGCCCUAGUGUAUAUUUUAUGGUGUAAUUUUAUGGUAAAUGUCUGUAGAUGAGGUGAGGUUGCUACUCCAAUUGAAAACCAAAAGACAUGCACAUCUCUAAUGGGUGCUGGAUCCAAGACAAACUCACAGAAAGGCAAAAAGGUCCACACAACAGGAAGCUUGCUUUAAAAAAAUGUAUUUACAGCUACCUCAAACUUGAAUGAGGAAGGUCAUUAUGGCUCGAAACAUCACUGCUUUUAAGAAAUGUGUAAACAGGAGAUUCCUGGUGUCUGGGCAUUUUUGCUUCUGUGCUACUCCAAGUGACUCUAGACUUCAAAUUUCAAUAACAGCUGACUGAGAAUGAGCAGCAUAAACCGAUCUCGAGAGUCUGCUGCUGCAUGGCUAUUGACUGGAACUGCAAUGUCUGUGUGAGCAAUGUCUCCAUUUAUCAAAAUAAAAGUCAUACUGCCAAGUCACACAAUGAUGGGGGUGAAACUAUUUACAAACGUUUCCACUCCACUACCUGGUUUGAACCCAAAACACUCUUUGUCUAGUGGACAAGCAGCCAAAAUGCAACGAAAGGUUGCCAUUUUUUACUGAAAUGUUCAUGUAAAUAUGACUUUAAUUAGGAUAUAGUUAUCUGUUUAUAAUGUUGCAUAUCAUACCUUUAACAAGAAUUCUCAACCAAAUGGCCCAGACAUGAAAGCCAGUGCACGAGUCACAAGACCACAUCACUGAGCAGUAGUUAUUUGCCAGUUAACUCUUACUGUGUCCAAACAAACAAAGAAAAGAUUGAUGACUAUUUUCAAUUAGAUUUUAAGAAAAUCUUUGGGUUUGUUGUUUAGAUCUUAUAUUAGGCUUGGACUACAUUCCUUUUUGUACACCUGUACACCAUACAAGAAAACUCAGAACUUCUGGAUGGCUUUUUUGCAAAGUUUGGAUCUACAAGGACUCUGAAUUCCAGCGCAAAGAGAAUGUUUUAUAAAUGUGUUUGCACUCUGUUGCACUAAAUGAAAAAGAUGAAUGUCCACAAAUUUCAAUAAACACCCUGCUGUUACAGACCUGCAAUGUAUUUCCUUCAGUUCCAUUAUGAAAAGAAACAUGUUAGCCCUUUGUACCAUCCAUUCUAGUUAUCACAUUCACACUAAGGUGUUCAUAUAUCUUAUCUUAUUCUGUAGUCAUGUUGUGAAUGUAGUCCUCCCAGCUGUUUGCAUUUGCAUUGAACUUCCUGUCCACAGUUUGUUCAUACUAACACCCCCCUCACACCCUGCUCCAUCACUCCCACGGAUGCUUGUUUCAUUGCAUGCAUCAACCUCCCACCCCAACCCAGACACCCACACACCAUCUCCUUGGCUCCUCUCAUCCCCGAGAUACGCCUGAGGAAACUGGUGGAUGAGCGUGAAAAAAUGAUUGAACAGGU